rnacentral:lncRNA from 10 species
CGGCCCUAGAGAGUUAUUUAUAAGUGCACAGUGAUAAUGAAUGUUCAGUCACAUCAAACGUUACAUUGUCUUUACAUCUUCUCAUAGGGAACGUUGAAACAUUUUGCGAUAGCUUGAAUUCAAACCAUCGCACUCACAGCACCGCUACAUGUCUCCAGCCUCACCUGGGGAGUGAGCAAAUGCCAGACACCCUCCUACGGAGCUAUUCUCUGAACCCUCCACACAGGCCCGGCUGGGCUGCUCCGCUCCGGGCCGAGAGAGUGAUUGAUAAGCUGCCGCUGUGUGAUUGCAGCCUUUGAAGCAAGAGGCAGCAGAGACCAGGUGAUGAGUGAGUUGGGAAAACAUGGGGAAAAUGAACGGAUGGGCCCGGGAGGAAGCACUUGCCGCAGGAAGCCACCCCCAGCCCAGGCUGCUGGGGCCUGAGACACUGAACAGAGCUGCUGUUUGCCAAGCAUUCUGGUUACACUUUUGUUGUGGGAUCUGUUACCUGGGGGCGGUUGCCUGGCUACUGCCAAGACAGGAACAUGUGUCCCUUGUGACAUCUGGACCUGAGCCAUCUCAGUGUGGAAGUCAUGGCCAGAGAGGUUUCUGGAACCUGAGACCUUGACUAUUACCCUACCCUAUCUCUCUUUCUCCUGGCGACCUGGAAUCCCAGGUUGCAAAGGGUCUUACAGGUGUCUAACCCAAACCCAUGGCCUCUACUAAACUUUGACUCUGCUCUGUGGCCCCCAGCGGCGGCCCCAAGGUCUCCUUCCAUCCUCACCCAUCCUUGGUUGGUGAACACGAACCCUCUCAUAGACCCACAGGGAAAGCCUUGUAGGUCCUGCAGCGGCUGCUCCCAAGACAGUCUUUGGGUUUUCUUGACACUGUUUUCUUCUCCUCCAAAGAGAUUCCCCCUUAGACCGGGCAUGGUGGCUCACACCUGUAAUCCCAGCACUUUGGGAGGCCGAGGCGGUGGAUCACUUAAGGUCAGCAGUUUGAGACCAGCCUGGCCAACAUGAUGAAAACCCUGUCUCUACUAAAAAUACAGUAAUUAGCUAGGCGUGGUGAUGUACGCCUGUAGUCCCAGCUACUUGGGAGGUUGAAGCAGGAGAAUUGUUUGAACCUGGGAGGUGGAGGUUGCAGUGAGCCAAGAUCAUGCCAUUGCACUCCAGCCUGGGUGACAGAGCAAGACUCUAAAAAUAAAAAAUUUAAAAAACCCAAAGAUGUUGCCCUUUGUUGGGACCUCCUCAAAGUGUGUGCCUGGGAUAUGAAGAUAAAAAUAAGACCCAGAGACUUGGGGUGAAGAACCAGAACCCGGCCACACGUCCAUUCCCUCCUUGCGUCAGGGAGGGAGAAGAGCUGGCCACGCUUGGAGUUCCCAAGAGUUCUUC